rnacentral:rRNA from 1 species
UACGUAGGGACCGAGCGUUGUCCGGAAUCAUUGGGCGUAAAGAGCGUGUAGGCGGCUUGCUAAGUCCUGCGUGAAAUCUCGGGGCUCAACCCCCGAGCGGUCGUGGGAAACUGGCAGGCUAGAGUGCGGGAGAGGAGAGUGGAAUUCCUGGUGUAGCGGUGAAAUGCGCAGAUAUCAGGAAGAACACCCGUGGCGAAGGCGGCUCUCUGGAACGCAACUGGACGCUGA